rnacentral:rRNA from 1 species
UUUGGUUAAGUUAGAAAGGGCGCACGGUGGAUGCCUUGACACUAGGAGUCGAUGAAGGACGGGACUAACGCCGAUAUGCUUCGGGGAGCUGUAAGUAAGCUUUGAUCCGAAGAUUUCCGAAUGGGGAAACCCACCAUACGUAAUGGUAUGGUAUCCUUAUCUGAAUACAUAGGGUAAGGAAGACAGACCCAGGGAACUGAAACAUCUAAGUACCUGGAGGAAGAGAAAGCAAAUGCGAUUUCCUGAGUAGCGGCGAGCGAAACGGAACAUAGCCCAAACCAAGAGGCUUGCCUCUUGGGGUUGUAGGACAUUCUAUACGGAGUUACAAAGGAACGAGGUAGACGAAGCGACCUGGAAAGGUCCGUCGUAGAGGG